rnacentral:lncRNA from 1 species
UUUCAGCAGAAAUCCCCAUCAACUAUAAAUUCAGUCUAAAGUCAAGCCAAUCUAGUGUUUUAUUUCUGACUUUAUACUUUCUAGAUUUAUUUUUGCCCACGUUCAGACUCGCUCGCACACAGGCACCCGCACCACGCUCCCCUUACCCUCUCCAUGGCAGCAGCCAGGCUGGGCUGGAACCAGGGAGCACCACUGCCAUCAGAAGGGGACCCCAUGCCUUCACCCACUGUCCCCAUACUCACCCAUGGGCUUCCCAUGGAGGCAGCUACUUCCUUGAGCAGCUCCAACCUGUCAGAAAGUGUGAAAAUGUCUUCUGCUCACAUCUGAGAAAAAGAUGCACAGCUGAAUCAAGGAAUGGCUGCGAAAGAGGCCUAGAUUUGCAAAUGUACUCAGGCAUCUCCCACCACUGAUACUGUUAAACUGGACUGAAAGCCUGGAUCCCACAGAUCUGAACUUGCAACGUGGGAUGAAAGCAUAAUGAAGAUCAUAAAGAUCAUAGUGAAGAUCGUUAAGAUCAUAAUGAAGAGCAUAAAGAUCAGUGAAUUACUGUGAAGGCUGUUUAGUUAACUUAUGCUUUAGCACAGCUGCCUUUCUAAGACUAGAUGCUAUUUUACAUUAGCACCUGUUCCUGUACAACUACUCCAAAAGAAGAAGACUGGGUUAAAAAAAAUAAAUAGUUUUGCUGUUAAAAGGCA